rnacentral:rRNA from 1 species
CCAAUAGCGUAUAUUAAAGUUGUUGCAGUUAAAAAGCUCGUAGUUGAAUUUCGGGAUCAGUAUGUUGGUCGUGCCUCGGUAUGUACUGGCGUCACUGAUUCCUCCCUUCUGAAGAACCAUCAUGCCAUUAAUUUGGUGUGGCGGGGAAUCAGGACUGUUACUUUGAAAAAAUUAGAGUGUUUAAAGCAGGCUCGCGCUUGAAUACAUUAGCAUGGAAUAAUGAAAUAGGACGUUAAUCUUAUUUUGUUGGUUUCUAGGAUCGACGUAAUGAUUAAUAGGGAUAGUUGGGGGCAUUAGUAUUCAAUUGUCAGAGGUGAAAUUCUUGGAUUUAUUGAAGACUAACUACUGCGAAAGCAUUUGCCAAGGAUGUUUUCAUUAAUCAAGAACGAAAGUUAGGGGAUCGAAGACGAUCAGAUACCGUCGUAGUCUUAACCAUAAACUAUGCCGACUAGGGAUCGGAUGAUGUUAAUUUUUUAAUGACUCAUUCGGCGCCUUACG